UCGCGGCUUAUCACCGGCAGUCCCCUUAGAGUGCCCAACUGAAUGAUGGCAACUAAGGGCGAGGGUUGCGCUCGUUGCGGGACUUAACCCAACAUCUCACGACACGAGCUGACGACAGCCAUGCAGCACCUGUGCACGAGCUCCGAAGAGGGGCCUCUGUUUCCAGAGGCUUUCUCGUACAUGUCAAGCCUAGGUAAGGUUCUUCGCGUUGCUUCGAAUUGAACCACAUGCUCCGCUGCUUGUGCGGGCCCCCGUCAAUUCCUUCGAGUUUUAGCCUUGCGGCCGUACUCCCCAGGCGGGGUGCUUAAUGCGUUAGCUUCGGCACGGACGGAGUUGACACCGCCCACACCUAGCACCCAUCGUUUACGGCGUGGACUAC
rnacentral:misc_RNA from 1 species